AUACGGAGGAUGCGAGCGUUAUCCGGAUUUAUUGGGUUUAAAGGGAGCGUAGGUGGGAUAUUAAGUCAGCUGUGAAAGUUUGGGGCUCAACCUUAAAAUUGCAGUUGAUACUGGUUUCCUUGAGUACGGUAUAGGUGGGCGGAAUUCGUGGUGUAGCGGUGAAAUGCUUAGAUAUCACGAAGAACUCCGAUCGCGAAGGCAGCUCACCGGGCCGGGACUGACACUGAUGCUCGAAAGUGCGGGUAUCAAACAGGAUUAGAUACCCUGGUAGUCCGCACAGUAAACGAUGAAUACUCGCUGUUUGCGAUACACUGUAAGCGGCCAAGCGAAAGCGUUAAGUAUCCCACCUGGGGAGUACGCCGGCAACGGUGAAACUCAAAUGAAUUGACGGGG
rnacentral:rRNA from 1 species